rnacentral:sRNA from 2 species
CCAGCUGGGUCGCACAACUGCAAUUCAGGAACAAGGACGGGGGACCCAUUCUCCCGUGAGACCCGGUUCUGAUGUAUCACACGGAUAACACCGCGUGUUACGACAGUUCCUUGGGGUGUAGCUCCGCGAACGACUUCCAGUCGCUAGCGGGGCCGGGCAACCUCUCGCUCGAACCCGACAGCUGACUUCGUAGGCGCGUGGAGAGAGGAAUA